CCACACCUCCGAGUUAGGGAUCGCACCACCCCUCGAUCUUCAAGAGGUAAGUGUAGAUCCUCGCUUUCCUUGUGUUUUAAUGAAGUUUUAAGUAAGUUUAAAGAUGUUUUGAUGGUUGAGUAUGGGUAGAUGUGCAUGUUUAGGUUUAUGUGAGUUUUAUGCCAAAUGUAUGUUAUGUGAUGUUUGUGUUGAGGAGUUUAUGUUAGUUUAUGCUCCUUUAUGCAUGUGGGAGAGUGUAUGCAUGAUUGGGAGAGAGCAAGUGAGGUUUUGAGUAGUUUUGAUGGUUUUGGCUUAUGUGGGUCAUAAGCUAUUCAUGUAUGCUUUAUGAUGUUCUUUGUUGGAGUUUAAUCUUGUUUAAGCUCCUUUGUGCAUGGUUAAAGGUUUAUGCAUGUUUUUUAAGGGUUGGGUGCUUGUUUUGGGUAUUUGGAAGGCUUGGGAGGCUUGUAUGCAUAAGAGGCUGAGUUCUAGAUGAACUCAGGUUCGGCCGCCGAAGGUAGUUUCGGCCGCCGAACCUGCCUAUGGAUGCAUGGAUUGGCCGCCUAACCUUGCCCCCGAAAGUUGUGUUUCGGAUCUGGAGCAGACUUUCAGCCGCCGAAAGUGAUGUUCGGCCGCCGAAAGUGCCUAACUUUCGGAUCUGGAGAGAGGGUUCGGCCGCCGAAAGUGCCCCUGAACCUGCAUGGCUUUCGGCUCUGGAAGGGACAUUCGGCCGUCGAAGGUGCCGCCGAAAGUGCCCUAUCCAGCCCUUUCAUGGUUGUUUUCUAUGCAUGUUUUGCGGAUGUUUUAGGGGUUUUUGGGGAGUUAUUUUUGAGUUGUUUAGAGUGUGUUUGGCACCUCAUUCGAGUCCACCUGUGUAGGAUCAGACCCGAGGGACCGAGGAGGCCAUCAAUGUUAGCAGUUGUAGAGUCAGUCCAGCGUCUGCCAGAGGUGAGUAGAACUAAACUUAAUCUUUUAUUUUACGAAAUCAAAUGCCUAAAGCAUGUUCAUGCAUCAUGAUUAUAUGUAAUAGGUUGAUCGCACUAGUUACACGAAUAUGACGCAUUGCAUUAUUUACUGUUAAUGUGGAUGGACCAAGGCGACCCCAAUAGCCCUAGAUAUGUUAUGUUAAUGAAGUCCUGAGGAGCCCCAUCGAAGGCCGGGCAUAAUGAAGUCCUGAGGAACUCGAAGAGCCGGGCACCAUGAUAUGUUACAGACAGAGGGAGUUUUGGUGGUCAUGUCCAUCCGUUAUGUGAAAUGUUUGUGCUGUGACGCAUUUCAUAAAAGCAUGUAAUUAAUGAACUGUUUUUCUGUUUCUACUCACUGGGCUUUUUAGCUCACCCUUCUCCCCUAACCCCAGUGUUGCAGGUAUGAGGUCGAUCGGGAAGUCUCAAGAGUUAAGGUUAUGCUUAUGUAAUAGAGUAGUGUUUUAGUGUGGACAUGUAUUGUAAACUGAGAUAAUGAAUUGUAAGGUAAUGUAAUGUAAUGUAACGUAAAGUAGAGUUAUGUUUAUAGAUUAGUGUUGUGCUUGGCCCUAAGGCUUGGUUAGUCCCUUUUUAAUAUAUGAUGUAUGUUAUGUUUUAAUGUUGAGUUGAGUUUGAACCAAACUUGUGGCAUGUGUGGUUUACCACGCUAGAGUAUUUGAUGAGGACCCUAGUGGAGGUCUUAUGUUUGUGGUUUGGAUGCAUGCACAGGUUAGGUUCUAGUUCUUUGGAUGUAAUCCCAGCUUGAUGUAUGUUAUGUUGACCCAGCUAGAGUUUUGAUGAGGGCUCUAGUAGGGGUUCUUUAUGUUUCCAGUUAUGUCGCAUACAGGUCAAGCUCGGUCUAUACAUCAUAUGUUACAGUAUUUAUGUUAAAGUUUUGAUCAUGUAUGGGAUUUUACCAGGUGAUAGGAUGUAUGUUAGGCUUGCUACGGGUCCCGGCGGCCUUAAGCCGAUCUGGAUCCUAGCACCGGUAGCGGUUCAGACCGUUACAGUGGAGUAUCAGUUUUCGGAUCGUUACAGAAGGCCAGGCUUCAGGAAAUCACGUCCAACCAAUUGGCUCUUCUAGCCUCAAGAGGGGCAAUAGCCAACAGAAGCAUUUAUAAAACUUGUAUACGGAAAGUAUAACCCUUUCAUAAGUCGUGCCUAUAUAGAAUUUGGGUUUUAGAUUGCUUUCCAUGCUUGUUUUGCUAGUAAUGCAGCAUUAAACAAAUUUAGGUCUUUGACACCCAAUCCUCCCUCCAUUUUGUUUCUCCAUAGGUCCUUCCAUCUUCUCCAAUGGAUCCCUCGUUUGUCUACAGCUUGCUUCCACCAGAAUUUAGCUAUCAUUUUGUAAAUCUCAUAAAUGAAGCCUUUUGGGAGUUUAAAAGAAGACAUUACGAAAGAUGGUAUUGCUUGUACUACUACCUUAAUAAGGACUUCUCUCCCAGCCAUAGACAAAAAAUGAUUUUGCCAUCAAUAUAUUUUCUUCUUAAUUUUUUCUUUAAGAAAAUUAACAUCUUGGGACUUGGAACGUCCCCAUUCAAUGGGUAAACCAAGAUAUUUCGAUAGUAUGCCAGAAUUUUGGAUAUUUAGAAUUUCAGCCACCUCAUGCUGAACACGAGCCAAUGUAUUCCUGCUAAAAAUUAUAUCAGAUUUCUGCCUAUUUACACAUUGUCUCAAUGCAUGGUUAUACUUUUCAAUGAUUAAUUUUAAGAAUUUAGCUUCUUGUAUAGAUGCUUUGCCAAAAAGGAUAGUGUCAUCUGCAAAGAGCAAAUGUGUCAAAGUUGGACAAUGUCUAUUGAUCUUAUAGCCUUGGAUGGAGUUAUUAGCUUAAGCCCUUUUCAACAUACAUGCCAAAACAUCUGAAACUAAGAGGAAAAGAUAGGGCGAGAUAGGAUCCCUUGAUGCAAACCCCUGGCAGGUUUGAAAGAGGACUUCACCCCAUUCAUAACCACAGAAAAACUCACAAAGAAUACAUAGAAAUGAAUCCAACUCACCCAUUGAUCACAGAAACCCAUCCUGCGUAUGUAAUACCCGGCUAGAUUCCGGCAUCUGAAUCCCUACCUUCCGGCGGAAUCUCCGUUGGAAUCUGGAAUUUUGAUGAUGCCAAAGUCUUCUAGAGGGUUGAAAUGUGUUUUCCAAAAUGUUUUUACUGAUUUCAUGGUUUUAAUUGAAAAAGAAUUGAGUUUUGAAAAGAAAAGACCAAGGAGGCAUUUGCCAGGUUCGGCCGCCGAAAGUGAAGUUCGGCCGCCGAACAUGGGAAGGUUUUGGGAGUGCCUUUGGCCUCCGAAAGCCUUGUUUGAACGAGCCAAGGUUCGGCCGCCGAACCUCAAGUUCGGCCGCCGAACAUGCAUGAGUUUAGGGGGCACGUUAGGCUGCCAAAGAUGGUUCAGCAGGCCACCUAUAAAGGGCCCUCAGAUCGGAAAUGGGCGAGUUUUCUCCCCAUUCUCGAGCUCAGGUGAGUUUUGGUCCUCCUUUGGUCGUUUUCAUGUUUUCUUUACCCAUUUCUCAAGUUUUUCAUGAGAUCUACCCUUGUUUUAAAGUUUUGAAGCUUAAAUAGAGUUUUGGGAGUUUGGAGGCUUUUGGAGCUUGGAUCCUCCACACCUCCGAGUUAGAGAUCGCACCACCUCUCGGUCUUCAAAGAGGUAAGUGUAGAUCCUUGCUUUCCUAGUGUUUUAUUAAAGUUUUAAGUAAGUUUAAUGAUGUUUUGAUGGUUGAGUAUGGGUAGAUAUGCAUGUUAGGGUUUAUGUGGGUUUUGUGCCCAAUGUGUGUUUAUGUGAUAUUAUGUUGAAGGUUUGAGC
rnacentral:lncRNA from 1 species